GACGAACGCUGGCGGCGUGCUUAACACAUGCAAGUCGAACGGAAAGGCCCUGCUUUUGUGGGGUGCUCGAGUGGCGAACGGGUGAUUAACACGUGAGUAACCUGCCCUUGACUUUGGGAUAACUUCAGGAAACGUGGGCUAAUACCGGAUAGGAGCUCCUGCUGCAUGGUGGGGGUUGGAAAGUUUCGGCGGUUGGGGAUGGACUCGCGGCUUAUCAGCUUGUUGGUGGGGUAGUGGCUUACCAAGGCUUUGACGGGUAGCCGGCCUGAGAGGGUGACCGGCCACAUUGGGACUGAGAUACGGCCCAGACUCCUACGGGAGGCAGCAGUGGGGAAUAUUGCACAAUGGGCGGAAGCCUGAUGCAGCAACGCCGCGUGCGGGAUGACGGCCUUCGGGUUGUAAACCGCUUUCGCCUGUGACGAAGCGUGAGUGACGGUAAUGGGUAAAGAAGCACCGGCUAACUACGUG
rnacentral:rRNA from 1 species